rnacentral:rRNA from 1 species
UACGUAGGGUGCAAGCGUUGUUCGGAAUUACUGGGCGUAAAGAGCGCGCAGGCGGUCGUUCAAGUCGCGUGUGAAAGCCCCCGGCUCAACUGGGGAGGGUCACGCGAUACUGAUCGACUCGAAGGCAGGAGAGGGUAGUGGAAUUCCCGGUGUAGUGGUGAAAUGCGUAGAUAUCGGGAGGAACACCAGUGGCGAAGGCGACUACCUGGCCUGUUCUUGACGCUGAGGCGCGAAAGCUAGGGGAGCAAACGGGG